rnacentral:pre_miRNA from 1 species
GGGGGGAGUGCCAGAUCUUGGGCUGUGUCCCCCGGCGCUCUGUGCUACCGGGCCUGCACUGUUGGAAUUGCGCUCCCGGCUGCACAGCUGCCU